GACGAACGCUGGCGGCGUGCCUAAUACAUGCAAGUCGAGCGGACAGAAGGGAGCUUGCUCCCGGAAGUUAGCGGCGGACGGGUGAGUAACACGUGGGCAACCUACCCUGUAGAUCGGGAUAACAUCGAGAAAUCGGUGCUAAUACCGGAUAAUCAUUUGAAGUGCAUGCUUCGAAUGUAAAAGAUGGCUCCGGCUAUCACUACGGGAUGGGCCCGCGGCGCAUUAGCUAGUUGGUAAGGUAAUGGCUUACCAAGGCAGCGAUGCGUCGCCGACCUGAGAGGGUGAUCGGCCACACUGGGACUGAGACACGGCCCAGACUCCUACGGGAGGCAGCAGUAGGGAAUCUUCCGCAAUGGACGAAAGUCUGACGGAGCAACGCCGCGUGAGUGAUGAAGGUUUUCGGAUCGUAAAGCUCUGUUGUUAGGGAAGAACAAGUGCCGUUUGAAUAAGGCGGCACCUUGACGGUACCUAACCAGAAAGCCACGGCUAACUACGUGCCAGCCGCCGCCGUAAUAC
rnacentral:rRNA from 1 species